rnacentral:rRNA from 1 species
UGGGGAAUAUUGCACAAUGGGCGCAAGCCUGAUGCAGCCAUGCCGCGUGUAUGAAGAAGGCCUUCGGGUUGUAAAGUACUUUCAGCGGGGAGGAAGGCUAUAAGGUUAAUAACCUUGUCGAUUGACGUUACCCGCAGAAGAAGCACCGGCUAACUCCGUGCCAGCAGCCGCGGUAAUACGGAGGGUGCAAGCGUUAAUCGGAAUUACUGGGCGUAAAGCGCACGCAGGCGGUCUGUCAAGUCGGAUGUGAAAUCCCCGGGCUCAACCUGGGAACUGCAUUCGAAACUGGCAGGCUAGAGUCUUGUAGAGGGGGGUAGAAUUCCAGGUGUAGCGGUGAAAUGCGUAGAGAUCUGGAGGAAUACCGGUGGCGAAGGCGGCCCCCUGGACAAAGACUGACGCUCAGGUGCGAAAGCGUGGGGAGCAAACA